AGAGUUUGAUCCUGGCUCAGGAUGAACGCUGGCGGCGUGCUUAACACAUGCAAGUCGAACGUGAGGGGGUAGCAAUAUCCCUGAAAGUGGCGCACGGGUGAGUAAUACGUAGGUGACCUGCCCUGGAGUGGGGGAUAACAGCUAGAAAUGGCUGCUAAUACCGCAUAAUACGAGGAUACUGGGAAGUAUACUGGUAAAAACUCUGGUGCUUCAGGAGGGGCCUGCGGCCGAUUAGCUAGUUGGCGGGGUAAGAGCCCACCAAGGCAGUGAUCGGUAGCUGGUCUGAGAGGACGAUCAGCCACACGGGAACUGAGACACGGUCCCGACUCCUACGGGGGGCAGCAGUGAGGAAUAUUGGGCAAUGGGCGGAAGCCUGACCCAGCAACGCCGCGUGGAGGAAGACGGCCUUCGGGUUGUAAACUCCUUUUACGGGGGAAGAGGAAGGACGGUACCCCGAGAAUAAGUCACGGCUAACUACGUGCCAGCAGCCGCGGUAAUACGUAGGUGACAAGCGUUAUCCGGAAUUACUGGGCGUAAAGCGCACGCAGGCGGCGCAUUAAGUCUGACGUGAAAUCUCCCGGCUUAACUGGGAGGGGUCGUUGGAGACUGAUGUGCUUGAGGCGGUGAGAGGGGUGUAGAAUUCCCGGUGUAGUGGUGGAAUGCGUAGAUAUCGGGAGGAAUACCAGUGGCGAAAGCGGCACCCUGGCACUGGCCUGACGCUCAGGUGCGAAGGCGUGGGGAGCGAACGGGAUUAGAUACCCCGGUAGUCCACGCGGUAAACGAUGAGUACUAGGUGUAGGAGGAGUGAAAUCCUUCUGUGCCGAAGCAAACGCGCUAAGUACUCCGCCUGGGGAGUACGGCCGCAAGGCUA
rnacentral:rRNA from 1 species